UAUCUAUUUCAUCACUUCAAGGCAACAGUACCAACAACAACCUCUGUGGCACCGAGAACCUUCUCUGCUGCACCGUCAAUUUCAGUGACGAUUCCAACAACGACAGUACCUCCAUCUGUGAUAUCUACAUCUUCCACAACUCCUGAUAUAACGUCUACAAUGCCUACAAACUUUAUAGCAACUAUGAUAAAGUCCACAGUAGCAACAACCUCUGCUGAACCUACAACUACUGCAACUGCAACCUGAGGCAACCUCUACUGAGCCUACAGCUACUACAACUGCAACCUCUGAAACGCGUGCGCCAACCUCUACAGAUUCUACAUCCCUUCAAACAUUUGUAAAAAAAAUUCAACAGAUUGAAGCUCUGCAGUAUCUACAGCAAAUUCUUUAGUAAUUACAAAAACCAUCACAGACAUCUUUUCCUUUACAAGAAAAUAUUACGGUAAUAACCUCAGCACAGGUUUUCUUGUCAUAUAGAAUCUGAAACAUGCAAAUUGUCAUCGGUACAAUAGCUUAAAUAAGUGUUCACUAAUCUGUUUCAAAUCUUACCAGAGGAUUGUGGUGUAACGUCUGUCAACGUUGCCAGAUCACGGAUCGUUUGUGGUGCUGACGCUGCCUAUUGCUUCUCUAGCGACGAUGGGUGAGGUUGAGGCUUUGUAUAUGAAAUGGCUUCGGCCGUUCUAUUUGUUCCGUGUCUUAUACCACUAUGCACAUCCCCUACCCUGAAACAGGAAAACACACGGUUUAUCUUAUCCAUUUUCUAGUUGUGAAAAAUCUGAUUGCUGUAAGCAUUACAUUUUCAGAAGUUAGCAGCCAUGGAAUAAAUGGCAAUUUAUCCGCAUUUCGUGAGAAAUGACAAGCCAAAACAUGCCAUCGGACAAGGUAUACAACACACUCUGGACAGGAAAAGGACAAAAGACCAAACAUAUGACUUCAAAAUAACAGGAUACGUUUCAGGAUGGCACCAGAAUUGCUUCCAUCCAUUAAUGUUUGAAUAUUUCAGAAAUGAGAUGAGUCCCAUGGUGGUUCAGUAAGGAUCAAGAAGUCUUGCAACUGUAACAGAAGUCACUGCUCUCAGAUACAUUGCACAUAAGGAUUACAAUCCCUCAUCUACCUUGCAUGACAUCGCUCUAGUUGAGCUUCCUCAAGCUCUCGACUACGUGAACGACCCCAACGUUCAACCAAUAUCACUGGGAAAGGAGGACUAGAACUUCGGUGGCAAAGUGGUAGCGACAGGAUAUCAUAUGUAAAUGGGAGACAGCGGCGGCCCCCUUUUCACCCAGCUGUGCGAUGGCCGGUGGGCGUAGCUGGGGAUAGUCAGCUACGGCUUUGAGUGCGCCCGACCCUCCAGGCCCGGAGUGUACACCAAAGUGUCCGCUUAUUUCGACUGGAUCGAGACCAACUCCGGCGGUACAAACUUUUUAUUAAUAAAUCCAUAGCGAUGCACAGGUGCUUUGUGUUAAUAUAUGUGUCUAGGUGUUUAUGUGUUCAUGAUCAUGAGGCCCAUAGUGGAAUUUUUUGUAGCUGUAGAAAUGGAAGCUUUCUUUCUUCUUCUAGCAUAAUUCCUCUUGCAAAUCCUUCCGUCACACACACACACACACUUCAGAAUUAAUUCAUGUUUCUUAAUCUGUUAGGAUCCGUUGCAGAUUUGGUUAAAGCUGUCUUUUCUCUA
rnacentral:lncRNA from 1 species